rnacentral:rRNA from 1 species
UGGAGAGUUUGAUCCUGGCUCAGGACGAACGCUGACGGCGUGGAUUAGGCAUGCAAGUCGAACGAGAAAUUCCCCGCUUGCGGGGGAAAGUACAGUGGCGAACGGGUGAGUAACGCGUAGGUAUCUGCCUCAUAGACUGGGAUAGCCCCGGGAAACCGGGGGUAAUACUGGAUAUGUUUUUCGAAACAAAGGUGGCCUCUGUUUACAAGCUGCCGCUAUGAGAUGAGCCUGCGUCAUAUUAGCUUGUUGGUAGGGUAAUGGCUUACCAAGGCGAUGAUGUGUAGCCGACCUUAACGGGUGACCGGCCACACUGGGAUUGAGAUACGGCCCAGACUCCUACGGGAGGCAGCAGUCGAGAAUAGUCUACAAUGGGGGAAACCCUGAUAGUGCGACGCCGUGUGUGCGACUAAUUCCUUCGGGAUGUAAAGCACUUUUCUAUGAGAUAAAAGCUCUUUAGGUUAAUAGCUUAUUGAGACGGAUAUUAUUAUAGGAAUAAGCUCCGGCUAACUCCGUGCCAGCAGCCGCGGUAAUACGGAAGGAGCGAGCGUUGUCCGGAUUUACUAGGCGUAAAGGGCUAGUAGGCGACUAAUUAAGUUAUAUGUUAAAUCCCACGGCUCAACUGUGGUCCUGCAUGUAAUACUGGUUAGAUAGAGUACUGUAGAGGAAGGCAGAAUUCCUGGAGUAGCGGUGGAAUGCGCAGAUAUCAGGAAGAAUACCAAAAGCGAAGGCAGCCUUCUGGGCAGUUACUGACGCUAAAUAGCGAAGGUGUGGGUAGCAAACAGGAUUAGAUACCCUGGUAGUCCACACAGUAAACGAUGAUCACUAGAUGUUGGUGAGUAAAAAAAAUCAUCAGUGUCGAAGUUAACGCAUUAAGUGAUCCGCCUGGGGAGUACGGUCGCAAGAUUGAAACUCAAAGGAAUUGACGGGACCCCGCACAAGCGGUGGAGCAUGUUGUUCAAUUCGAUGCAACGCGAAGAACCUUACCUGGGCUUGACUUCCCGAGAAGACCUGUGAAAGCAGGUUGUGCCCCUUCGGGGGAACUCGGUGACAGGUGCUGCAUGGCUGUCGUCAGCUCGUGUCGUGAGAUGUUGGGUUAAGUCC